rnacentral:SRP_RNA from 1 species
GUUGGUUAUGGUGGCGUACACCUGCAGUCCCAGCUACUCAGGAGGCUGAGGCAGGAGGUUCACAGGAGCCUGGGAGGUUGAGGCUGUAGUGCGCUAUGCUGAUCAAGUGUCCACCCUAAGUUCGGCAUCAAUAUAGUGACCUCCCGGGAGCGGGGGACCACCAGGUUGCCUAAGGAGGGGUGAACCGGCCCAGGUCGGAAACAGAGGAGGUCAAAAGUCCCGUGCUGAUCAGUAGUGGGAUCUCGCCUGUGAAUAGCCACUGCACUCCAGCCUGGGCAACAUAGUGAGACCCCAUCUCU